ACACCCAGGUCUGGGGGAGUGGGGAGUGCUCAAAGCUUCAGGGGCUGAAGAGAGAAGAGGUUCCCAGAGGCAGAAGCGGAUCCUGAGAAGCGAGGGGGGCCAGAAGUCCAGGCUGGCCAGUUCUGGAGAAACCACAGAGGUGGCCCAGGCGUGGGAGGACCUGUGUGGCCACCCAAGGUCCCAGGGCUGGACACCCCCGGGCAGGUCAGCCUCUGGAUAACCGAGUUCUGCGGAGUAUGGAGACCAAACGAUUCCCUUUGGAUUUGUUAACAGAUCGCCAUGGAGACACACUUAAGGGAACUCACACCGGAGAAUGCAAAGCAGGCUCCACUCAGGUGAGCCCAGCGCACACGGGCCUCUGACCGUAUCCGGCGCCGUCACCCC